UAUGGCCACAUCACAUUGAAAUACCGGUUCUCCUACGAUCAUCGAAGUUAAGCGACAUCGAGCCUGGUCAGUACCUAGAUAGAUAACCGCUUGGGGAUACCAAUUGCUG